rnacentral:piRNA from 1 species
UAAACUGCAUAUGUAUGUAUAUAGUUUCAGG